CCGCCACCGCCGCCGCCACCGCAGCCGCAGCCGCAGCCGCCGUCGUCGUCGUUGUUGUUACUACUCCCGCGUUGUGCGCUCGCUCUAUGUACGCGCGGACAUAGAUCUUCUCUCUAUCUCUCUCACACUCUAUCACUCUCUCUAUUCUCUCUCUUUCUUUGUUCUCUCUGUGUCCGCCUGUGUGUGCCCGCGUGUGUGUUUACACACAAAUAUACGUACAUGUACGUGUAGUAGGCAUGUGUGAUAUUAUUUAUAUUGAUGCAUAAAUACGUACAUAGCAUACAUACAUAAAUACAUAAGUACGUGGAUACGUAUGACAUGUAUUAUUGCCACUGUCCUUCGCCCGCACGACGUCGCCGCCUCCUCGUACAGCAUAUUUGCCAAUAAUACAAGUGUAAUCGGUAAACACGCACGCACGCGCACCCACACAUGUAAGCCAAUGCGCACGUGCUAACGGUAACCAAAUAGUUAUGUACGCGAGCACAUAUAUGCAUGUGCGUGCCGGUGUGUCGUUUAUUAAUAAUAUUGUGCGUGUGUUAUUAUUAUCAUCAUCAGUGUGUAUACGUUCGCCGGCGUACCUGUGUGUUUGUUGUUGUUGUUGCAACGGUGCGCGAGUGUAAGCACGGGGAUGAUUGCCGCUGGCCAACGCGAUCGUUGAGUUUUUUCGAAAAACGCGCGCACGCGCGCGCACCACAUCGACGGCGACGACGACAACGACUACGAGAUGACGAGGGCGGCGAUUCGAAUUUAAACACCAAGCCGCCGGCCGCGCAGCUCUCACAUACUUGAGUCGCCGACCAAAUGGAUACGAGAUAAUGCAACGUCCCAAGUGCCACGGCGCGUCCCCCCGAAUUCUAGGAAGAUAUUGAGGAACCGCGACAUCAGUUGGUGGCUGUGCGUGUGACCGAGGAUAUCUCCUAGAUGAACGUGGCAGCAUCGUCAGUGCGUGACAAUCGGACGCCGAGAAAUGGAUAAGAUCGAGUGCAAUGGAGAAGAGAAGAAACGACAACUGCUGAAAAAAAUAGACGAAAAGAAGGAAACAGAAUAAAAUGAAUGAGAUCGCAACAGCGCCGGAUGAAUGAAAAUAUCGAUAUCAAUGAAUAUCUGACUGUACAUAAAUCGGAAACAAACUAGGAAAACAAUAGUUGGAUAACUAAAUAGGAACAAGAGAAAGAGACACUGAAAUGAAGAAGUGUAUAGUGUAUUCAUCGGAGUAUUAGACAAUUUUGUAUAUUGAGAUACAACGUAAAUAUUCUGGAAAAGAAUUCUGUCAA